rnacentral:rRNA from 1 species
ACGAACGCUGGCGGCUGCUUAACACAUGCAAGUCGAACGGAGUGGCGAACGGGUGAGUAACGCGUGAGCAACCUGCCUAUGACAGUGGGAUAGCCUCGGGAAACCGGGAUUAAUACCGCAUAGUCAUAGAUGGGCUCGCGUCUGAUUAGCUAGUUGGUGCGAUAACAGCCCACCACGGCGACGAUAAGUAGCCGGUCUGAGAGGAUGAACGGCCACAUUUGAACGGAGACACGGUCCAAACUCCUACGGGAGGCAGGAGGGGGGAAUAUUGCACAAUGGGGGAAACCCUGAGGCAGCGACGCCGCGUGAACGAAGAAGGUAGUCGUAUCGGAAGGUUCUGUCCUAUGGGAAGCAGUACCAUAGAAGAAAGCUCCGGCUAACUCCGUGCCAGCAGCCGCGGUAAUAC